rnacentral:lncRNA from 1 species
GGUUAUGCUUGUUCCUAAUUCGUGGGACCACUGGAGAUAGCAUUAGUCAUCUUUCUUUUGGCCUUGAAAAGGUAUAAUCGCACAGAAGGCUAGGAUGGCUCUAGAGCUUAGUCUUUAGCAUAGUUUUUAGUUUUCUUUCUUUUUCUUUGUCAGGCACGCUUACUGUUCGACAAUAUUUCCCAACAGGAAGAAUAUCUUUUACUUCUAGCUUUCUAAUGAAAAACAUGAAGUCUUUACAAUCAAUUAAUUUGUGUGAAGAUUUAUUUAUACGGCGUGGCUAAGCCUGCUAUCUAGUCAAGGAUCAACUUGACGGCGCAGUCCCGAAAAUUUGUGAGAUCUAAUUAGUUUUCAUGCGUUUCUCAAUUUGUUAAUAUUUGCACAUUGUCUACUUGAAUUUUCAUGAGAUUAUUUUAUUAAUUGGAUGUCAAGGGCCCAAUGUUCAAUGUGAUUUAUUAAUCUCUUGCCAAAUUAGUCAAUUAAAUCCGUAAUUGUUUGAUUGAUUAGUAUUAGUGGCAACUAGCGUGUUUACACACUAGAGGAACGUGCAAUCUAAUUUAAAUAACCCUCGUAGUGUGUUAUUGAUUGGGGUUAUGUUUUUUUAAUUAUUAAUGCAAUUGAAAAAUUAAUUCCUACGGUCGUACCUAGGAAUAUUUUCUGGUUAGGGGUAAUCAAUGGUCGUACUUUGGUUAUUAAUAAAUUAAGAAAAAUUGGUCGUUAGAGUUCGUCGGCUACUAUAACUAGUCUAUUAAUAAAUUAAGUGAACAUUUCUUGUAUCAAUGAUCGGAUAAAUGGACUGUGUCUGAGUAGUUGUAUCCUUGGUUAGAAUUUAUCUAUUUUUGAUUUAAUUCCUGCUAUAUUCGUGCUAGUUAAUUACUUAUUUUUAGUUGAAUUGCUUAAUUGUUUUUAGUUUCAGUCCGAUAAAAUCCCCUUUUACCAAUUGAAAUUUCAAAAAGACAAAUAUUUUCAGUCCCUGGGGAGACAAUCCUGCUUGUCACUGUCUACUUUUUAGUAAUUUUUGUCAAUUAAUUAAUUCUGGUAUAUCGGAUUAAGCAAAUUCUUUGGGAACAAAGUGAAUCAAGUAACCCAUUGUACACCUAGAGUCCCUGUUCCAGUACCUAGGGUUAAUUAUUGACUGCUUUUAGUGGUAGUUAGGUUCUAUUUUUAUUAUUAUACAGGCUCGACACCUGUCAAUUUUUGGCGCCAUUGCCGGGGGCUGACGUUAAUUAUUUGCUUCUUUUUAAGUUCAUUUGUGUUCUAAUUUUUUGGUACUUUUCUAGUGCAUGCCUCGUUCUUCUCGUACAGGCGAAUUAAUUUUCGACCCUGAAGUAGAGAAGACCGCACAUAGAACAAGAAAAGAGACCAGACAGCUCAGAGAGGAGCACUCCAGUGCUGCAUCUCAGAGACCUGAGCCAGAAGUUGAACCAGCAGAUUCGUUUGGUGACACUUCGAGUGACUCGGAUCAAGAGGAAGUCACCAUGGCAAAUACACAAAUACUAAGGGAGCUGGCUGCGCCUAAUUUAAAUCAGUAACCUUUGUGCAUUACUUUUCCAAGUUUAAAUGAUAACGCAUCUUUUGAGUUAAAAUCUGACCUAAUUCAUCUCUUACCAUCUUUCUAUGGUUUACCAGGUGAGGAGCCGUAUAAACACUUGUAAGAGUUUGAUGUAGUUUGCAACAGCAUGAAACCCCGGAAUCACAGAAGAGCAGAUAAAAAUGAGAGUCUUUCCUUUCUCUUUGAAGGACUCUACGAAAGACUAGCUGUACUACCUAUCACCAGGUAGUAUUGUUACGUGGGACCAAUUGAGAAAGAAAUUCUUAGACAAAUAUUUUCAUGCGUCUCGAGCUGCAAGUCUAAGGAAGGAGAUUUGCGGUAUCAAACAACACCCAGACGAGUUUCUCUCUGAGUACUGGGAGAGGUUUAAGAAGUUGUGCAUCAAAUGCCCUCAACAUCAGAUAAGUGAGUAACUGCUCAUCCAAUAUUUCUAUGAGGGGCUACUCUUAGGGACAAGAGUAUAAUCGAUACUGCAAGUGGAGGGGCGUUAGUGAACAAAACUCCUCGGGCAGCAUGGGAGUUGAUUGAGGCGAUGGCUAAAAAUUUACAGCAGUUUGGUUCAAGAGAGGAUGUCCCGACCUGUAGGGUGAAUGAGAUAGAAAUAUCCUCCAUCUAACAACAAAUUUCUGAAUUGACAUCUUUCGUAUGACAAUUAGUUGUGGGAAGUGCUUCACAAGCCAAUGUGUGUGGGGUAUGUGCUGCCUUGGGUCAUUCUACAGAGAUGUGUCCACUAGUUCAAGAAGAAAAUGCAGAAUAAGUGAAUGUGCCAGUCACGCGCCCGCGCCAAGAAAGCAGUACGACCCUUACUCAAGUACCUCUAAUUCUGGUUGGAGAGAUCAUCCCAAACUCAGCUAUGGAGGGAACAGACAGUCCAAUUUCGUACCAAAUAGGCAACAAGGGUACCGACAGCAGUACCAACCUCACCCACCACCACCCCCUUCGAACUCAAGUCCGUCUAUGGAAGAGAUGAUAAAGCAACUACUCACAAAUCAACAAAAGAAGGAUUCAGACUUGCAAAGCAUAAGGAAUUAAUUGGGACAAGUGCAAUCAUUGCAAACUCAAGUAAAUCAAAUGGUCAUCACGAUCAAUCGUUUGGAGUCCCAAAUUCAAGGGAAGUUGCCAUCUCAGCCUGAGUUGAAUCCAAAAAAUGUGAGUGCAAUGACCUUGAGAAGUGGCAAGGAAGUCAAAUGACUCGAACCGGUGAUUCCUAAGGACAAGGACAAGAAACGAAUCGAAAAAAAUUGGAAGAGGAGGGCAGAGACAACGAGGAUUAAAAAGUACUCCCGGAUCUGAUUACUAGAGUUAAGACUAAUCCACCUCCCUUUCCUAGCAGGUUAGAGAAAUCAAAGAAGCAGAACAAGGAGAAAGAGGUCCUGGAGAUCUUUCGUAAGGUGAAAAUCAACAUUCCCCUACUGGAUGCGAUCAAGCAAGUACCUAAUAUGCAAGGUUUUUGAGGAACUUGUGUGUCAACCGAAGGCGGUUGAAAGGAGAUGAGCGAGUGGUAGUGGGAGAACGUGUCAGCAAUCUUAUAAAGGAAGUUUUUACCGAAAUGCGAGGACCCAGGUAUAUUCACUAUUCCCUGUAGGAUAAGUAAUACCUUGAUUGGUAAGCCCAUGUUAGACUUGGGAGCGUCGAUAAAUGUCAUACCAAAGUCCAUAUAUGCUUUUUUGCAUUUAGGUCUUGAAAAGAGACUGGAAUAAUAAUCCAACUGGCUGACCGAACCAAUGCAUACCCUGACGGGUUGAUUGAAGAUAUUUUAGUAAAAAUUAAUGAAUUGGUUUUUCCAACUGAUUUUUAUGUGCUUGAUAUGGAUGAUGAACACUCCCACGACCUCUCACUUUUAUUGUUGGGUAGACCUUUUUGAGCACAACCCGAACCAAAUUUGAUGUAAACAAGGGUACUUUGUCAUGAAAUUUGAUGGCAAGAUUGUUCAUUUUUACAUUUUUGAAAUCAUGAAAUAUCGUUAGAUUCAAAUGUUAUCUCCGUUUUCUCUGUAAAUGUUGUUGAGCCUGCGGUACAGGAGGUUUUUUAAAUUGAAAGCAGGGAUGAGUUGGAAGUUGUCUUGACCAGGCACUUCGAGUCAGAAAUGACCUCUCAAUGGGAUGUCGUCUUCUACGACUUGUACUCGACUCAAGUGAUCUGCUACCAAUUUUUCGUCCCUUUUUUGUCUGUGAUCUCCAGGUCAAAUCUUGUAGCAAUAGUAUCCACUUAUAAGUCGCGAUUUUGCCUCUUUCUUGGUCAACAGAUACCACAUUGCUGCAUGAUUAGAAAAAAUAAUAACUUUAGCACCUAGUAAAUAAGAUCUGAAUUUCUCUAAAGCAAAAACUACUGCCAAAAUCUCCUUUUCAAUGGUAAAAUAGUUUAAUUGAGCUCCGUUCAAGGUUGAGAUGCGUAGUAUAUAACAUGGGCCGCUUUCCUACUCUUUGAUCCAGCACCGCACCCAUGGCAUGAUUGCUGGCAUCGCACAUGAUCUCGAAUGGUAAGUUCCAGUCCGGAGGUUGGAUAAUAGGUGCACAUUAAGUUCGAUGAAGCAUGUAAGGGGCGUUUGAUAGGUUGAAAGAUCAAUUAAACGGAGCUCAAUUAAACUAUUCUACCACUGAAAAGGAUUUUGGCAGUAGUUUUGCUUUAGAGAAAUUCAGGUCUUAUUAUUUACUAGGUGCUAAAGUUAUUAUUUUUUCUAAUCAUGUAGCAAUGCGGUAUCUAUUGACCAAGAAAGAGGCAAAUCGCGACUUAUAAGGUGGAUACUAUUGCUACAAGAUUUUGACCUGGAGAUCAGAGACAAGAAAGGGCGAAAAAUCUGGUAGCAGAUCACUUGAGUCGAGUACAAGUCGUAAAAGACGACAUCUCGUUGAGAGAAACCUUUCCCGAUGAGCAUUUAUUUUUGUUAAUUUAUCUUUGCCUUGGUAUGCGGAUAUUGUAAAUUUUCUAGUCACUGACAAGUUUCCUGCAGGAUGGUCUAAGGCAAAGGUACAAGUUAAGGGUGAUACAAAGUCUUAUAUUUGGGAUGAUCUUACUUCUGGAAGCGUGGUGCUGACCAAAUCAUCUGAAGAUGUGUAAGUGAACUUGAAUUCCAAUCUAUUUUAACUUAUUGCCACUCUUUUGCGUGUGGAGAUUACUUUAGACCAAAGAGAAUGGCUCGUAAGGUGCUAGAAAGCGGGUUUUAUUGGCCGACCCUCUCCAAGGAUGCAUACUUAUUUUGUAAGUUAUGUGAUAAGUGUCAACGAGUAGGUAAUAUUUCUCGUAUCGAUCAAAUGACCAAACCCCAAUGAUUUUUGUUGAAAUCUUUUACGUUUGGGGUAUUGACUUUAUGGGUCAUUUUUCUUCGUCUUAUGGUUUUUUAUAUAUUGUUGCCGUAGACUAUGUUUCGAAAUGGGUGAAGCAAAAGUCACCUCCAAAGUGGUUGCAGAAUUCGUAAGAUCUAAUAUUUUUGUCCGCUUUGGGAUGCCGCGAGCUAUUAUAAGUGAUCGGAGUACCCAUUUCUGCAACAAGACGAUUGCUGCACUUUUUAGGAGGUAUGACGUUUUACAUAAGGUAUCUACAUCCUACCAUCCUCAAACAAAUGGUCAGGCGGAAGCAUCAAACGAGAGAUCAAGUCGAUUUUGGAGAAAAUGGUUCGACUUGAUAGGAAGGAUUGGAGUAUGAGGCUUGAAGAUGCCUUAUGGGCAUAUAGAACGGCGUACAAGAUGCCCAUUGGCAUGUCCUCUUAUCAUUUGGUAUUUGGGAAGUCACCUCCCCAUCGAGUUCGAGCAUAGAGUAUUUUGGACUGUAAAACAGUGCAAUAUGGACAUCGGGAGGGGUGAAAUUCAACAGAAAGUUGCAAUUACAAGAAUUGGAGGAGAUUCGAAAUGAAGCACACGAGAAUGCGGUGAUUUAUAAGGAGAAAAAUAAGAUUUUUCAUGACCAACAGAGCUCUAAAAGACGUUCGAAUAUGGGCAAAAAGUUCUACUGUACCAUUCCAAAUUAAGUUAUUUCCAGAUAAAUUACGUUCUCGUUGGAUUGGUCCUUUUGUUGUGACUAAUAUAUUUCAUUUUGGUGCAGUGGAGAUCCAAAGUUUGAAAACGGAGAAGAAAUUUAUAUUGAAUGGUCACCGUUUUAAACCGUAUUAUGAAGGGUUUCCGGUUGAACGGGUGGAGAUGAUGCAUUUGGAAGACCCGACUUGCUUAGUUUAAGCAAAUUUUAGGUUAUGUCUAGCCAAAGACAUUAUAAAAAGGUGUUAUUUGGAGGCAAGCCAAAUAUUAAUUUUCUCAUUUUAAUUGUUCAAUUCUUUAAUCAUGUCGUUUCCCAUUUGGGUAGUAAUCGGUUUUAAUGUUUUCCUCUACUUUGACCAAGACAGGAAUCUUGGCGUGCCACGCGGUAAGGGUACGCAAAAGUGAUCCAGGUCAGUGGACGUUUGCCAAUUUUGGCGUCCGCGCCAUGUUGAUCAAACCUAACACCUCGCGACGAUUGGCAGGAAAUGAAAGCUUACGUGUCCGCGUGAGAAGGGCACGCAAAAGUGACUCAAGGUCAGUGGACGUUUUAUAAUCUUGACGUGUCCACGCGGUGUUUGACGACCCUAAAAUGAAUUAAAAAAAAUAAUAAAAAAAUUAAAAAAUAUAAAAAAUUUUUGUUAUUACUUGCAAGAAAAAGGAAGGAUUAUUUUCUUUUUAAACCCUAAAAAAUUAAUUAAUUAAAAAUUUAAAAAUUUUUUAAAAAUUAAGAAAAUCUAUAAAAAAAAGGAGAAAAAUAAAAAAAAAGAAAAAUUUUGGUCGAUUAAUAUUUGAAUAAUUUUGAAAAAAAUAGAAAUAAAAUAAAAACCCAAAAGAAAAAAAUAAAAUAAUUUUUUCCCUUUUCUCUUUUCUUUUUUUUUCUUUCUUUUCUUCUUUUUUCUUUCUUUUUUUCUUCUUCUUUUCUUUCCUUUCUUUCUUCUUUUUCUUUUUUCUCCCUUCUUCCCCGCUGCUUUCCCUUUUCCCUUCUUUUCUUCUUCGAUCUCACUCCCAAGCCGCCGCUGCUGCCAUCGACGCCGCCUCGCGCGCACCACCAAGCGCGACAGCCGCGCGCCGCCCCUUUCUCCCUGCGCUCUCCACGCGCGCCUCCAUCCAGCAGCUGCCACCCCAGCUCUGCGCGAGCUCCACUCCAGAGCACGCCAGUCCCUGCCACCAGCUCUCCAGCCGCCGCCAAGCUCCGAGCUCCACCUCGCGGUCCAUCACUCACCUCGCACCACCAGCUCUCCCUCCGCCUCGCUCUCACUCACCUCUCGCCACCUGAGCCCACCAAGCAGCCGCGCGCCACCAACUUCACAUCGCUCGCCGCGCGCUCGCCGUGGCCUCCUUCUUCACCCCAGCCCAAGCUCGCUCCUCCCUCUCUCUCCCCCACCUCAGCUCAACCUCCAACCAGCCGCCGCCACCUGCUACACCGCUCCUCCAACCUCGCGCGCCCCCACUGACCUCCUCCUCCACCAGCUCCACGACGACGCCGCCUUUCCUUCGCUCCACCCUCGGUCUCGCUCCUCCCCACCUAGCUUGCCGUCCCAACUGCCGGGCGGCGCUGCUCACGCCACCCACAGCCACGCCAUUCCCACCUGUCAAAAUUGACAGGUGGAGGUAUUGAAUCUUCAACCUCGAUUAGUAUUUUUCUGGUUCUUCUAUUGCUGGAAUUUGGCGCUUUUGUUUCUUGGGUUUCUUGAUAGCUAAUAGCAGGGGGUGAUUUAGGCAUUUUCUGGGGUUAAUUUUGGUGGAACUAAGUUUAUUUGCUGCUCCAUUUUGGGAUAUUCUCUGGUAUUGAUUACAUUGUUGAAUAUUGUUUGGGUUUUGACUACUUGAAGCUUCUAUUUUCAUAUGUGGGGAUCAAAUUUGAGUUGACUAUUUGAUUUAAUUUUUCCCUUUGCAUUCAGCAGUGGUACUGGCGAUGGUAGUUGUUUAACAUUUGUUAAUCCGGAGUUAUUGGUUGCCUGAUUGAUCGAGUUGUGACUACUGGGCAUUUGUGAUUGUGUUGCCUAGUCCAACUUCUGAACUGUGGUUGCUGGUUUUGUUGGUUUCUUGGGUCAUUUGCUAAUUUUGGUAGGUUUAAUUGGAUAUUUGACUGUCCAAUUGGAGACAGUUGUUGAGAUUUUGGAUGGUCUUGUGUCCAAUUGCUGAAAUUUGUUCUUUUGAUUAGCCAAUGGCACCACUCUGAGUUUGUUAGACUUGUUGUUUUGGUGCAUUGUUGGGAGCUGUACUCUGGUAUUGUGGGUCCUUUUCUGCGCCUGUUUGCUGAAUUGGGAUAUAACUGUGACUUUGCAUUUGCUUAUUAAAGUGGGUUGCCUCUAAUUGCCUUGUGUGAAAGUAUUUUGUCUUGUCAUUUCAAUUACUUAGUUCAUUGGAACACCUGCUGCAAUUUUGGGUUGCCUGCUAGUUACCAUGGUAAAGCCACGGUCCUCUUCUAGGUCUAGGACCCCUAGGACUUCUCAGCCUCCCCCACCCCAGUCCUCCAUUCCUGCCUCUAACCCCUCGCACGAACCUUCUUCCUCUGGGAGGAGGGCUCGCCUUGGGCGGCAGAGAGGCGUCCAUAUCUCUGACCCUACACAUUUUGGGAGUAAUUUGGACUUCACCAAUCCCGCCGAUAGGCAACGGUAUGCUAGCUGUUGUGAACGGCGGAUUAUUCCCUGUCGCUAUCGGGAUACCGCCACCUUGGGUCUUCUAAAUAUUAGAGUUGAUUUUGACAGGUUGAUUGAGGCCAUUGGAUGGCUUCCCUAUCCUCGUAUUCUUGACCGCCCGGCCUUUGUUGAGUUAGUUAGGGAGUUCUAUGCCACAUUUGAGUUCAACCUCCCCACUGGUUACACAGUUUCUACCCCCAAUGUCAUCGUUUCCGCUUGAUGGGUCAGGAGUUCCACCAUUCCAUUACUGACUUCAACUUAGCCUUUGGUUUUAUUGAUCCAGCCUAUGCUGAGUCUCGUGAGUAUGUCGAGAGUGCGUGUGACUACAUAGAGCCUUUUUUCUCCCGCUAUCGGUAUAUUUGGGAGGAUAUGUCUGUCGACUGUGCUGAGUAUGACCCCCGCCAUUCUAAGAGUUGUUAUCUUAAGGACCCGGCGUCUCGCUAUAUCCAGCGCUUCUUGGCCUAUAGUUUUCGGGUAGGCGAGAUAGCUCGGGCAUUUUGUCUAAGCCGGAGUUUUUCUUUAUUUGGUGCAUGCAUAAUAACAUCAAGGUUAACUUGGGGUGCUGGCUCGCUUCUCAGUUUAAAUCUGUUUUGCCUAAAAAGAAGCGCCCCCUGAUUCUUGGGUCCUAUAUUACUCAUUUGGCUGUUAAUUUGCAUCUGCUUGAUCUCUCUAACCAUGAUUUGCAUGUAGCAUGUCAAAUGGAGCCCUUAGACAUUCCUUGUCUAGAGAAAAUGGGCUUGGUACAGGAGGGUGACAACGGGUGGGAGGUUGUUCCCCGGGACCGAUUCGUGUCCCCCCUCGUUCCUCUUUUGCUCGUUCUUCUACUGCUGGCGGUGAUCCUGGCCUGUCUACCUCUGCUCCGCCUCCUACCCCAGGGCCGACGACUGGCUCCAACUCCGGAACACAGUUAAGAGACUGGAGACUCGAGUGACCAACAUUAGCAUCAACUUGAAUAACAUGGCGCAGAAUUUGGCAGCAUUUAUGCAUCAUGUAGCCUUGAUCCUCAAUUUCGACCUGAGCCACCCCUGUUUUGACGACUUCAGGGGAGUACCGUUGCCCUUCUCCUUCCUUCUGCUUUUACAUUAUAACAUUGAGGGCAAUGUGUGAAUUAGGUGUGGGGGGAUCGUUGUGGUGCUAGUUUUUCCAGUUUUUAGUCUCUAGAGGUUGUUCCUUUAUGUUUAGUUUGUUUUUGCCUAUCUUUCAUUUAUUUUCUUUGCUUUUUUUUCUAGUGAUCAGUUCUUAUAUGAAUACCAAGUUUUGAUCUGGGUUAUUGUCUCUAAUUCUGAUAUUGCCAAGUUUUAGUAAUAAAGGGUAUCAAGUUAAUGUGGUUGAGUUCAGGAACAUUUUUUGGUGAAUAUCAGUAAUUGUUUGACUUUUCCAAUUUUUGGAUAACUUUUCUAGGCAUAGGGAAUGAUGUUGGCGUUUUCAUGUGAAUUGGUCCAGUUAUUAAUUUAGUUCUCUAUGUUUGGAAAUUUGACGCUGGCUGCUGUUAUUUUUGUGUUGUUUUUAGAUAUUGUGCUAUAUGGUUGUAAAUAAGAGUUGACUGUACUCCGCUAGUUGUUACUACUGAGUAACCGGGGAUUUUCACCUAAAGUGUCGAUUCUCGCGUCAAAAGGUAGUGAUUUCUAUGAGUACGUGGUCAUAUAGCGAUAGGAGCUGAGUAACCGGGCUCCUUCAUUUGACAAAUGUUGGAGUUCGCGUCAAAAAGCUCUAAUGGCUAGAGACUAAGUCUUUGCUAUUCUCAAAAAAAAAAAAAAGAGAAAAUAGGAAAGUGCGAAAAAAAAGAAAAGUGAAGGUUGUGUUAGUAAGUGAUAAAAGUCAGCUUGCCGAUUUGUGGAGUUAAUGUUGAGAUUUGGUUAAUAGUUGGACCAUUGGCUGAUAAAUGUGAGCAAUCAUUCCUUUUUCUUAGAUUAGUUUGCUUUAAAUUGGACGAGUUGGUGGUUUAGAAGCUAACCAGAGUGAUUUUUCUUUGAUCUUGACCUGUGAUACUUGAUAUAUGUUUUCCUGGGUAUUUUGGCAAUACGGUAGUUGGAGCAAUAACCAUUGUCGAAUUUUGGUGUUCAAUUGCUGUCUCCAUGCUUGAGGGUAAGCAUGAUUUAGGUGUGGGGGAAUUGAUAGGGUUUAAUUGUUAGUAAUUUAUUGUUAAUUUUCCCUUUGUCUUUGCCAAAUAUUGUUUUUAAUUGUUAAUAUCUACUUAUAUUUGGUAUUUGACUCAAUAUCAGGGAGUGGAAUGGAAAAGCACAAAAUAGGAGGGACUUUUUGGAGAAAAUGAAAACUUCUAAGGGCUUCACUAACCGGGCCCACAUGGUGCUGAGAAGGAGACGGAUUUCCUUUUGCUUCUGGCUGAUUAAUAGCGGCUGACUAGGAGUCCUACUAAUAAUAGGAAACAAAAUAAGACGGAAGGCCUGGGUUGGUGCUGGAAGUUCUCUUCUUUUGGUUAUGCUUGUUCCUAAUUCAUGGGGACCACUGGAGAUAGCAUUAGUCAUCUUUCUUUUGGCCUUGAAAAGGUAUAAUCGUACAGAAUGCUAGGACGGCGGGCUUAGUCUUUAGCAUAGUUUUUAGUUUUCUUUCUUUUCCCUUGUCAGGCACACGCCUACUGUUCGACAAUAUUUUCUAACGGGAAGAAUAUCUUUUGCUUCUGGUUUUCUAAUGAAAAAUGUGAUGCAUUUGCAAUCAAUUAAUUUGCGUGAAGAUUUAUUUAUGCGGCGUGCUAAGCCUGCCAUCUAGUCAAGGAUCAACUCAACGGCGCAGUCCCGAAAAUCU